rnacentral:rRNA from 1 species
CUUGGUCAUUUAGAGGAAGUAAAAGUCGUAACAAGGUUUCCGUAGGUGAACCUGCGGAAGGAUCAUUAUCGAAAUUAUUGGUGAGGGUUGUAGCUGGCCUUUCGAGGCAUGUGCACGCUCGAGCCCUUAAUCCACUUUACACCUGCGCACUUAAUGUAGGUCGCCCUUAAAAAAGGUGACCUAUGUCUUAUCAUCAACCCAUCGUAUGUCUCAUAGAAUGUAAUCGAUAUCCUCGCCCUGAAAAAGCGUUGAUAAACUUAUACAACUUUCAACAACGGAUCUCUUGGCUCUCGCAUCGAUGAAGAACGCAGCGAAAUGCGACAAGUAAUGUGAAUUGCAGAUUUUCAGUGAAUCAUCGAAUCUUUGAACGCACCUUGCGCUCCUUGGUAUUCCGAGGAGCAUGCCUGUUUGAGUGUCAUUAAAUUCUCAACUCCAAGGGUUUCACGACCUUUCGGAGAUUGGACUUGGAGGUGCUGGCCGCAUAUUGGUCGGCUCCUCUCAAAUGCAUCAGCGGAAUUCAACCUUUGGCUUCCGGAUGUCAGUGUGAUAAUCAUGUUGCGCUGUCGUUUGAUCCCUCAGAGUCCGCUUAUAAUGGUCUUCGGACAAAAUCAUCACCAAAUUUGACCUCAAAUCAGGUAGGACUACCCGCUGAACUUAAGCAUAUCAAAAGCGGAGGU